GAUAACACGUUAUUAUCUAUGAUCCAUUGGCUGCAAGAAUUACACAUCGGGUGGCGAACGAAAACUCCCGUGGCCUGAAAGGAAGGGCAAAAUUGCGGUACAUCUGCGCACUUUUGGAGGCAGAUAUCGUUGGACACAUAACCCACCGUCUGACGAUGAAAGUUAUC
rnacentral:sRNA from 1 species